GAUGAACGCUGGCGGCGUGCCUAAUACAUGCAAGUCGAGCGAACAGACGAGGAGCUUGCUCCUUUGACGUUAGCGGCGGACGGGUGAGUAACACGUAGGUAACCUACCUAUAAGACUGGGAUAACUUCGGGAAACCGGAGCUAAUACCGGAUAAUAUAUCGAACCGCAUGGUUCGAUAGUGAAAGAUGGCUUUGCUAUCACUUAUAGAUGGACCUGCGCCGUAUUAGCUAGUUGGUAAGGUAACGGCUUACCAAGGCAACGAUACGUAGCCGACCUGAGAGGGUGAUCGGCCACACUGGAACUGAGACACGGGCCAGACUCCGACGGGAGGCAGCAGUAGGGAAUCUUCCGCAAUGGGCGAAAGCAUGACGGAGCAACGCCGCGUGAGUGAUGAAGGUCUUCGGAUCGUAAAACUCUGUUAUUAGGGAAGAACAAAUUUGUAAGUAACUGUGCACGUCUUGACGGUACCUAAUCAGAAAGCCACGGCUAACUACGUG
rnacentral:rRNA from 1 species